ensembl:lncRNA
UGUGUAGGGUGAGGCUAUCCGUCUGAAGGAGCAUCUCCAGCAGGCGGAGGAGAAACUUCAGUGCUCCCAGCAGGAAGCUGUGCUCCUGGGGGCAGACCUGUGCACCGCGUCCAGCAGAUGUGAGCAGACAGCGGGGGAGCUCCAGAGGGUCCGGCAGGAGGCCGAGGCCCUGCGCUCCAGCCUAUCAGAGGCCCAGGCCCAGGGCCAGAGCGCCCAGUCACAGCUGGAGAGGAUGAGACACGUCGCCUAUCAGAAGGAGGGCGGAGACUCCUGUCCCGUGUCACAGGUGGAGGCGGAGCUCCAUAAGGAGGUGGAUGAGCUGAAGGUCCGUCUGCAGAUGGCCGCAGAGCACUACAAGGAGAAGUACAGAGAGUGUCAGAAGCUCCGCAAGCAGGUCAAGCAGCUCAGCCAGCAGCCCAGGAUACCCCCUCCUGAGAGUCCCGAUCAGGAUGCAAAGAGAAUUGAGGCUGAGAUGACGACGGAG